rnacentral:rRNA from 1 species
CGCUAUCACUCCUACGGGGAGCAGCAGUAGGGAAUCUUCCACAAUGGGCGCAAGCCUGAUGGAGCAACACCGCAUGAGUGAAGAAGGGUUUCGGCUCGUAAAGCUCUGUUGUUAAAGAAGAACACGUAUGAGAGUAACUGUUCAUACGUUGACGGUAUUUAACCAGAAAGUCACGGCUAACUACGUGCCAGCAGCCGCGGUAAUACGUAGGUGGCAAGCGUUAUCCGGAUUUAUUGGGCGUAAAGAGAGUGCAGGCGGUUUUCUAAGUCUGAUGUGAAAGCCUUCGGCUUAACCGGAGAAGUGCAUCGGAAACUGGAUAACUUGAGUGCAGAAGAGGGUAGUGGAACUCCAUGUGUAGCGGUGGAAUGCGUAGAUAUAUGGAAGAACACCAGUGGCGAAGGCGGCUACCUGGUCUGCAACUGACGCUGAGACUCGAAAGCAUGGGUAGCGAACAGGAUUAGAUACCCUGGUAG